rnacentral:rRNA from 1 species
GGUCAAGUUAUUAAGGGUGCAGGGCGGAUGCCUUGGCACUAGGAGCCGAUGAAGGACGUGAUAAGCUGCGAUAAGCUUCGGGGAGUUGCACGUAAACUUUGAUCCGAAGAUUUCCGAAUGAGGAAACUCACUUAGAGUAAUGUCUAAGUAUCAUUAAGUGAAUACAUAGCUUAAUGAGGGGAACUCAGGGAACUGAAACAUCUAAGUACCUGAAGGAAGAGAAAGAAAUUCGAUUCCGUAAGUAGCGGCGAGCGAACGCGGAUUAGCCCAAACCAAUAAAGUUUUCUUUAUUGGGGUUGCGGACAUAUCAUAACGAAGAGGUAUCGUAAUUGAAGAGGUUUGGAAAGACCCACCACAGAAGGUAAUAGUCCUGUAUGUUAAACGAGAAGACUUCAGAUAUGAUCCAGAGUACCACGGGACACGUGAAACCCUGUGGGAAGCAGGAGGGACCACCCUCCAAGGCUAAAUACUACCUAGUGACCGAUAGCGUAUAGUACCGUGAGGGAAAGGUGAAAAGAACCCCGGGGGGAGUGAAAUAGAACCUGAAACCCUGCACUUACAAGCUGUGGAAGCACAUUUCUUGUGUGACCGCGUACUUUUUUGUAGAACGGGCCAACGAGUUACGUUAAGUAGCAAGGUUAAGCACUUAAGGUGUGGAGCCGUAGCGAAAGCGAGUUUUAACUGAGCGUUCAGUUACUUGACGUAGACCCGAAACCGGGCGACCUACCCAUGAGCAGGAUGAAGCGAAAGUAAAAUUUCGUGGAGGUCCGAACCCACGAGCGUUGAAAAGCUCGGGGAUGACUUGUGGGUAGCGGUGAAAUUCCAAUCGAGCCCGGAGAUAGCUGGUUCUCCCCGAAAUAGCUUUAGGGCUAGCCUCAAGGUGAGAGAUACGGAGGUAGAGCACUGAAUGUCCUAGGGGGUAUUGCACCUACCGAAGACUAUCAAACUCCGAAUGCCGCCAUCUUAUACUUGGGAGUCAGACUGUGGGUGAUAAGAUUCAUAGUCGAAAGGGCAACAGCCCAGAUCGUCAGCUAAGGUCCCUAAAUGUAAGUUAAGUGGUAAAGGAUGUGGGAUUGCACAGACAACCAGGAUGUUGGCUUAGAAGCAGCCACUCAUUCAAAGAGUGCGUAAUAGCUCACUGGUCGAGUGAUCCUGCGCCGAAGAUUUCCGGGGCUAAAACUUACUACCGAAGCUACGGCAUCAGUAAUGAUGGGUAGGGGAGCUUCCCAUACGGGUUGAAGCAUGACCGUAAGGACAUGUGGACAGUAUGGGAGUGAGAAUGUUGGCAUGAGUAGCGAGAUGUGGGUGAGAAUCCCACAGGCCGUAAACCCAAGGUUUCCAGGGGAAGGUUCGUCCGCCCUGGGUUAGUCGGGACCUAAGCUGAGGCCGAAAGGCGUAGGUGAUGGACAACAGGUUGAUAUUCCUGUACUACCGAUAACCGUUUGAGAGAAGGGAUGACACAGUAGGAUAAGCUAAGCACACUGUUGGUUAUGUGUGCCCAAGCAUUGAGGCAGUCAAAGUAGGCAAAUCCGCUUUGAUAAUGCUGGGAUGUGAUGGGGAGCGAAAUUUAGUAGCGAAGUAGCUGAUUUCACACUGUCAAGAAAAGUCUCUAUCGAGGUUAAAGGUACCCGUACCGCAAACCGACACAGGUGGGUGAGGAGAGUAUCCUAAGGCCAGCGAGAGAACUGUUGUUAAGGAACUCGGCAAAAUGACCCCGUAACUUAGGGAUAAGGGGUGCCACCAUCAGGUGGCCGCAGAGAAUAGGCCCAAGCGACUGUUUACCAAAAACAUAGGUUUCUGCUAAGUCGCAAGACGAUGUAUAGGAGCUGACGCCUGCCCGGUGCUGGAAGGUUAAGGGGAUCUGUUAGAGCAAUCGAAGCAGUGAACUUAAGCCCCAGUAAACGGCGGCGUAACUAUAACGGUCCUAAGGUAGCGAAAUUCCUUGUCGGGUAAGUUCCGACCCGCACGAAAGGCGUAACGAUUUGGGCACUGUCUCAACAACAGACUCGGUGAAAUUGUAAUUCCGGUGAAGAUGCCGGAUACCUGCGACAGGACGGAAAGACCCCAUGGAGCUUUACUGUAGCUUGACAUUGGGUCUUGGUACUACAUGUACAGGAUAGGUGGGAGGCUUUGAAACCAGGACGCCAGUUUUGGCGGAGCCAUCCUUGGGAUACCACCCUUGUAGUACUGGGACUCUAACCAUAGGCCAUGAAUCUGGUCUUGGGACACUGUCAGGUGGGCAGUUUGACUGGGGCGGUCGCCUCCCAAAAGGUAACGGAGGCGCUCAAAGGUUCUCUCAGUACGGUCGGAAAUCGUACGUAGAGAGUGUAAAGGCAAAGAGAGAGCUUGAUUGCAAGACAUACAGGUCGAGCGUAAGGAUGAAAAUCGGACUUAGUGAUCCGGUGGUUCUGCGUGGAAGGGCCAUCGCUCAACGGAUAAAAGCUACCCUGGGGAUAACAGGCUUAUCUCCCCCAAGAGUCCACAUCGACGGGGAGGUUUGGCACCUCGAUGUCGGCUCAUCACAUCCUGGGGCUGUAGUAGGUCCCAAGGGUUGGGCUGUUCGCCCAUUAAAGUGGUACGCGAGCUGGGUUCAGAACGUCGUGAGACAGUUCGGUCCCUAUCCGUCGCAGGCGUAGGAAAUUUGAGAAGACCUGUCCUUAGUACGAGAGGACCGGGAUGGACGUACCUCUGGUGUACCAGUUGUUCUGCCAAGGGCAUGGCUGGGUAGCUAUGUACGGAAUGGAUAAGCGCUGAAAGCAUCUAAGCGCGAAGCCAACUUCAAGAUAAGAUUUCCCACCGCAAGGGUAAGACCCCAGAAAGACUAUCUGGUUGAUAGGUCGAAGGUGUAAGUGCAGCAAUGUAUUUAGCUUAUCGAUACUAAUAGGUCGAGGACUUGACCAA